UGGAAAAGAUGUAGACGGGUGGUUUUCAAAAUUCUUCCAAGGGCCAAUGCGCCACAUUCUAAUUUUAAAUCGCGAAUUAAUCGCAUAAUCAUGAUUUUAUUUUUAUAAAAUUACUGAGGACCCCUUCCAUUGACAUGAAUGCACGGAACCACAAGCCGGCUUCUUUUCUGGAAUGGGGUCCUCAGAUUUGGAGGUUACGUUCGCAGACAGAGCAGAGCUGAUGCUUCCCGAGCCUGGACCGGUGGACAGGAGGCUGUGGCGGUCGGUAUGGAAGAGCUCCCAUCCCGUGGCUGCAGCGGCCAACUCUCCUUAAUUCGGUUAGACAUCACCAAGGUCAGAGCGUUCCUCGUUUUUUUUAAAGGCGCCCAACAUAAAUUAUUUUUUUAAUUAAUAAUUUACCUUUUACCCGGUCUUCCAGUACCAGAACUACUGACUCACCCGUAUGCUCUAAAUUUUAGGUAUUUGUUUUUUUUAAGUAAAUAGACUGAGCUAGCGAUAUAAUGUAUAAUAAGGGUAGUUUCCUUGCCUACC
rnacentral:lncRNA from 1 species